rnacentral:rRNA from 1 species
UAGGGANUCUUCGGCAAUGGGGGCAACCCUGACCGAGCAACGCCGCGUGAGUGAAGAAGGUUUUCGGAUCGUAAAGCUCUGUUGUAAGUCAAGAACGAGUGUGAGAGUGGAAAGUUCACACUGUGACGGUAGCUUACCAGAAAGGGACGGCUAACUACGUGCCAGCAGCCGCGGUAAUACGUAGGUCCCGAGCGUUGUCCGGAUUUAUUGGGCGUAAAGCGAGCGCAGGCGGUUUGAUAAGUCUGAAGUUAAAGGCUGUGGCUCAACCAUAGUUCGCUUUGGAAACUGUCAAACUUGAGUGCAGAAGGGGAGAGUGGAAUUCCAUGUGUAGCGGUGAAAUGCGUAGAUAUAUGGAGGAACACCGGUGGCGAAAGCGGCUCUCUGGUCUGUAACUGACGCUGAGGCUCGAAAGCGUGGGGAGCGAACAGGANUAGAUACCCUGGUAGUCCACGCCGUNNCGAUGAGUGCUAGGUGUUGGAUCCUUUCCGGGAUUCAGUGCCGCAGCUNANNCANUANCACUCCGCCUGGGGAGUACNACCGCNAGGUUG